rnacentral:rRNA from 1 species
UACGUAGGCAGCAAGCGUUGUUCGGAAUUACUGGGCGUAAAGCGCACGUAGGCGGAUUUGUUAGUCAGGGGUGAAAUCCCGGGGCUCAACCUCGGAACUGCCUUUGAUACUGCAAGUCUCGAGUCCGAUAGAGGUGGGUGGAAUUCCUAGUGUAGAGGUGAAAUUCGUAGAUAUUAGGAAGAACACCGGUGGCGAAGGCGGCCCACUGGAUCGGUACUGACGCUGAGGUGCGAAAGCGUGGGGAGCAAACAGG